rnacentral:rRNA from 1 species
AGUGAACGCUGGCGGUAGGCCUAACACAUGCAAGUCGAACGGCAGCACAGUAAGAGCUUGCUCUUACGGGUGGCGAGUGGCGGACGGGUGAGGAAUACAUCGGAAUCUACUUUUUCGUGGGGGAUAACGUAGGGAAACUUACGCUAAUACCGCAUACGACCUACGGGUGAAAGCAGGGGAUCUUCGGACCUUGCGCGAUUGAAUGAGCCGAUGUCGGAUUAGCUAGUUGGCGGGGUAAAGGCCCACCAAGGCGACGAUCCGUGGCUGGUCUGAGAGGAUGAUCAGCCACACUGGAACUGAGGCACGGUCCAGACUCCUACGGGAGGCAGCAGUGGGGAAUAUUGGACAAUGGGCGCAAGCCUGAUCCAGCCAUACCGCGUGGGUGAAGAAGGCCUUCGGGUUGUAAAGCCCUUUUGUUGGGAAAGAAAAGCAGCAGGUUAAUACCCCGCUGUUCUGACGGUACCCAAAGAAUAAGCACCGGCUAACUUCGUG